GGGACGUUACUCCUAUUAUAUCAGGCAUGAUGUGCCCAAUAUCAUUUGCUUGAUUUGGCGGGAUUUGGAGGUUAUUUAUUGCCUUAUUUGCUCGUUAUUAGUCAUUACCGGUGAUCAUGGGAUUUGGGAAUUCGAGCAGAAUCGAGGGUCAAUCUUGCUUGUUAUAUCAACUAAGGUCGAAAUUCGGAGGUAUAUCAAGUCAAUCGAGUUUGGGGAUCAUUCCAUCCCUAUAUUAGUAAUAACUAUGUAAAUUAACAUAAUAGAGUGAUCUAGAGUUAUGUAAUGUGAUCGUUAUAUGUCAAAUAUUUUUAUUUUUCAAACUAUAAUUCUGACAUAUUUGAGGAAUUUAAAUUUUAAAUUUCAAAUUCAUAAUUUUGAAUUUUAGAUAAUAUAAAUGUAAAAGAUCUUAGAGAUUCAUUUAUUAUUUCUUUUUAUCUUUGUAUUAUCAUGGUUGUAAUCAUUUGUACAUUUUCAACUAUAAUUACCUCCUAAGACUGGGGUAGGAAAAAUUUCUCACAAUAUUUUUUUUUCCGCAUAUUCUUCUUUUCCACAUAGUAUUAGAGCUUUUAACUGAGCUAUCUUCAUGUUAUCUUCCUCCAACUCCAUGCCUACGCCUACCACUCAACCUUCAGCUGCUGUUCAACUCAGUUAGGAUAAUUUUAUUAUCUAGAAAGAAUGUAUUCAACCUCUCUUAAUAGCCAAUCGACUAUGGGAUCUUGUAGAUGGCAUGACCUCAUCUCUAUCUCCAACAAUUGUCACAACACCAGUGAUGGAAGAAUAGAGAAGUCAAUCUCCAAUCUGGCCUAUAAAUCAUGUCUUCUCCGUGAUCAAGUUGCUCUAGCAUGGCUACUCGACAAUAUAUCCAAUAUGAUUAUAGUUCAUGUCGUCAAGUUAUCACAUGCACGAAAUAUUUGACUUGCUCUUGAAUGACUUUAUGCCAUUCAGAGUGAAGUAUUUUAUAGUACUUUUAUGAUGGAUUUUCAUGCUUUUAACAAGAGCUCAUAUUCUAUAGAGG
rnacentral:lncRNA from 1 species